AUGGCGGCGGCGGCUGGCUUAGGUUUUCUCGUCGCUGCAGCGCUCCCCCUGAUCGGAUGGGUGGGGGAUGUAGAGGAGCAGACGUGGGACGAGAUCGUCCUGGGGAGUGAGACGGCGGUGCUGGUCGAGUUCUGGGCGCCAUGGUGCGGCCCGUGCCGCUUGAUGCACCCCAUCAUCGCAGACCUGGCCAAGGCCUAUGUUGGCAAACUGAGCUGUCUGAGGGUAAACACGGACCAGAACAAGGAGGUGGCCAUGAGAUGUUAG
rnacentral:rRNA from 1 species